rnacentral:lncRNA from 1 species
UCUCACACCAAUUGCUAUUAUGCUAAAGGUUAUAAUGGGUCAUAUUAAGUGAUAUUGUGGGUUGUCCACGUUACAUAGAACAUCAUGAUAUAAAAUGUAUAUUAUAAAAUAUAGAACAUCAUCCUAGACUCUUCAUUAAUCUAUUCUUGAAUCGGUUGUGUAGGAGUUGGUACUUGAGACAAAGAUCCAAUUUUAAUUUCUAGAUUUUUCUUUAACUUGUUGUUCUUGUUUUCAACGGUCUUUCCAGCAGUGUUGUUUUUAGACUUCUUAUUCUUGUUGUCACCCUUUGAUAUAACCCUACCAGCAACUUUUCCCCCUUACAACUCCAGUUGUGUCUCAUGGCUCUACACAUGUGGUAAGUAACUGUUGUAAGUUUUCUUUGCAGCACAUGUGAAUUUCUAGGCUCAUCAUAUGUCUUGUUCCUAAGAUUUUUGGGAUGACCAAUUCCCAUUCGCGUCAAGUCUCAUUUCAUGCAUGCAUAAGUUUCAUUUUGAGGUUUACACAAUAUGUUUCAAUACCAUUUGUUAUUCCAAAAAUGUCUAAUUCAUCAUCCUCAUGCCAUGUAGGUGACCAACCCCCUGCAACUUUCUUGUUCUUCUCAAGUAUCAGUUGAAUCCUUGGCCAAAUUUCUCCAGCAUACUUAAACAUCAUCUCCUCCUGAGAAGUACUCAUAUUUGUCAGAUAGUGAUUAAACCCUUCUAAUAAGGUGAUUAUAAGUUUGUCUUCUU